rnacentral:rRNA from 1 species
AACGAACGCUGGCGGCAUGCCUAACACAUGCAAGUCGAACGAGACCUUCGGGUCUAGUGGCGCACGGGUGCGUAACGCGUGGGAACCUGCCCUUAGGUUCGGAAUAACUCCCCGAAAGGGGUGCUAAUACCGGAUAAUGUCUUCGGACCAAAGAUUUAUCGCCUUUGGAUGGGCCCGCGUUGUAUUAGCUAGUUGGUAGGGUAAAAGCCUACCAAGGCGACGAUCCAUAGCUGGUCUGAGAGGAUGAUCAGCCACACUGGGACUGAGACACGGCCCAGACUCCUACGGGAGGCAGCAGUGGGGGAUAUUGGACAAUGGGCGAAAGCCUGAUCCAGCAAUGCCGCGUGAGUGAUGAAGGCCUUAGGGUUGUAAAGCUCUUUUAUCCGGGAUGAUAAUGACAGUACCGGGAGAAUAAGCUCCGGCUAACUCCGUG